UACGGAGGAUCCAAGCGUUAUCCGGAUUUAUUGGGUUUAAAGGGUGCGUAGGCGGCCUAUUAAGUCAGGGGUGAAAGACGGUGGCUCAACCAUCGCAGUGCCUUUGAUACUGAUAGGCUUGAAUACACUAGAGGUAGGCGGAAUGUGACAAGUAGCGGUGAAAUGCAUAGAUAUGUCACAGAACACCAAUUGCGAAGGCAGCUUACUAUGGUUUAAUUGACGCUGAGGCACGAAAGCGUGGGGAUCAAACAGG
rnacentral:rRNA from 1 species